rnacentral:rRNA from 1 species
GACGAACGCUGGCGGCGCGCCUAACACAUGCAAGUCGAACGGAGCUGAGAGAAGCUUGCUUUUCUUAGCUUAGUGGCGAACGGGUGAGUAACGCGUGAGUAACCUGCCCUGGAGUGGGGGACAACAGUUGGAAACGACUGCUAAUACCGCAUAAGCCCACGAUCCGGCAUCGGAUUGAGGGAAAAGGAUUUAUUCGCUUCAGGAUGGACUCGCGUCCAAUUAGCUAGUUGGUGAGGUAACGGCCCACCAAGGCGACGAUUGGUAGCCGGGCGGGGAGGUGGAACGGGCACGAUGGGGAUGAGACACGGCCCACAAUGCGACGGGAGGGAGGAGUGGGGGGUAUUGCACAAUGGGGGAAACCCUGAUGCAGCGACGCCGCGUGGAGGAAGAAGGUUGUCGGAUUGUAAACUCCUGUCGGUAGGGACGAGAAUGACGGUACCUAACAAGAAAGCACCGGCCAACUACGUG